GGGAAUGGUUGUGACCCUGGUGGGCACCGCGGCCUUCAAAGCCGUCUGCGGGGCCGGGAAGGUCCUGGCUGGGUUCGAUUCCCAGACAUUCCC
rnacentral:tRNA from 1 species